UUCUAGGCCAUUCUUCUCAUAAUUUCAGCCAGACAGCCAUGGGAGAGAGCUUUUAAGCUGGUUUUGCACAAUUUCACUGCAUAUCAAGAGAAACGAGAUUCAAGUCGUGAUCGAGGGAAAAAUAAAGUUUACGAGGAAUAGGCUCGAUUGCUAAUAUUUUAUAUCGAGUUUUAACAAGCCAGCUCAGAAAUCGGGAACGGUCGAAGGCCCACUCACACUAUCCGUAUACCAUCUUGGCAUAAUGGCUUGUAUAUUUUGAGUAUGGCAUGUAUAGCAUUAUAAUCAUUUUGUAUAUAUGGUCAUAUGAUAUGGAUAAUGAGUGGUAUGGAAAUGCUUGGUAAUGAUUAGCCAUUGGAAUGGCUAAUAAUGAUCAUAUUUGGUGUUAUGUAUGCUAAAUUGCUAGCUAAUCCAUGGAAACCAUGAAAUAGGCAAAAUUUACCAUAAAAUAGAUUCAGACAGCAGCAGUGACGUGAGUUUGAAAAAUCAUUAAAAAUAGUAGAGAUACAAUUAGAUGAUGAAUAAAAUAUGGAAUUGAAGAA